UGGGGAAUAUUGCACAAUGGGCGCAAGCCUGAUGCAGCCAUGCCGCGUGUGUGAAGAAGGCCUUCGGGUUGUAAAGCACUUUCAGCGAGGAGGAAGGUGGUGAGCUUAAUACGCUCAUCAAUUGACGUUACUCGCAGAAGAAGCACCGGCUAACUCCGUGCCAGCAGCCGCGGUAAUACGGAGGGUGCAAGCGUUAAUCGGAAUUACUGGGCGUAAAGCGCACGCAGGCGGUCUGUUAAGUCAGAUGUGAAAUCCCCGGGCUCAACCUGGGAACUGCAUUUGAAACUGGCAAGCUAGAGUCUCGUAGAGGGGGGUAGAAUUCCAGGUGUAGCGGUGAAAUGCGUAGAGAUCUGGAGGAAUACCGGUGGCGAAGGCGGCCCCCCUGGANGAAGACUGACGCUCAGGUGCGAAAAGCGUGAGGAGCAAAACAGGAUUAGAUACCCUGGUAGUCCACGGUGUAAAACGAUGUCGAUUUUGGAGGUUGUGCCCCUUGAGGCGUGGCUUCCGGAGCUAACGCGUUAAAUCGA
rnacentral:rRNA from 1 species